rfam:Schistosoma curassoni strain Dakar, Senegal genome assembly, scaffold: SCTD_scaffold0000017
AUCCAACUGACAAGUCCCAAAUGGGACGAAACGCGCGUCCUGUAU